AGGAGGAGAAAAUGAGCAAAGUUCUUCUGAACUGAGAUUAAAGGAAGAAAACAACAGAAACUGGAAAGAACAAAGAAACGCUGAAAGGAAGAAAACGUCAUUUAGAUACAUUCAAUAAAGUGACUGAAACCUAUUGGAGAUUCAUUUCACCACUGGAGGCUACCCAAAUCUCCUUUCCUUUGCUGCCCCCACUCUGUACAGUCUCUUCUACCUUCAUACCUCAGCUUAUUGGAUAAUAUAAGCCUUAAACAUUAAAUGCCAGAGGAUUUUCCCCAUCCAUUCUGAGACAUGGCACAAUCAUUUCAUCUUCUUCCACAACAUCCUACUGUGACAUCCUCUCCUAUUGAAGUUCAUGUGUGGAUAGAAGGUAAGAUGUUUUGAAAUCUCUUAGCUCUGCACAUCACAUUUC